rnacentral:misc_RNA from 1 species
AAGUCGUAACAAGGUAACCGUAGGUGAACCUGCGGUUGGAUCAUUAGAGGAAAAAUUGUUUGCGGGCCUGGUUUUUUACCGGGUUACCCGCAGGCAGCUUACCCCAACCCCAUGUGAACAUGCAGACUGUCUUUUUUCCUUGCCAAUUUCUUGUUGGCGGGGAUGUAAAUACGCUAUUUUUAUAUGCAAACACGUGUCUCCCAGGGCCCAUUUUAUUGAUGGAUCCGCAACAUUAUAAGAAAAAAACAACUUUUGACAACGGAUCUCUUGGCUCUC